AGGGGUGUGGCUCAAUUGGUAGAGCAGUGGUCUCCAAAACCAAAGGUUGUAGGUUCAAGUCCUAUCACCCCUGCCA
rnacentral:tRNA from 1 species